UACGUAGGGGGCUAGCGUUAUCCGGAAUUACUGGGCGUAAAGGGUGCGUAGGCGGUCUUUCAAGCCAGAAGUGAAAGGCUACGGCUCAACCGUAGUAAGCUUUUGGAACUGUAAGACUUGAGUGCAGGAGAGGUUAUCGGAAUUCCCGGUGUAGCGGUGAAAUGCGUAGAGAUCGGGAGGAACACCAGUGGCGAAGGCGGGUAACUGGACUGCAACUGACGCUGAGGCGCGAAAGUGUGGGGAGCAAACAGGAUUAGAUACCCCCGUAGUCCCUGAGCGGGCU
rnacentral:rRNA from 1 species